AGAGAGCAGAGAGCCCUGGACCAGCAGGUCGCCCCGCGCAGACGCCUCAGUUCAGGAGGACAGACUCCUCGCAGAGAUCUGGAGAAAGUGCUCACCGGAGAGGAGAAGGCGUUGCGGCCGGGC